CAACGUGCUCCGGGGUCGGUGUGAAUCCGAACCGGCGGUGACAGUCCGCGAACGCCUGGUCACAGGCGCCGAUCCGGUGGAACUCCGGAACCGACGGUGAUGCGAGCAGCAGCUCGCUAGUCCGGAGGAGAGGCAGCACGUGC
rfam:Microbacterium sp. 69-10 SCNpilot_expt_1000_bf_scaffold_721, whole genome shotgun sequence.